UGGUUCUGGCAUCGAUGAAGAACGCAGCGAAAUGCGAUAAGUAAUGCGAAUUGCAGAAUCCGUGAGUCAUCGAAUCUUUGAACGCACAUUGCGCCCCUUGGUAUUCCGAGGGGCAUGCCUGUUCGAGCGUCAUUAUCACCCCUCAAGCCUCUGGCCUGAUGUUGGACUUGGUCAGCGGUGACCGGUCUCAAAGAUAGUGACGGCGUCCUAGAAGGAACCGGUACGAGGAGCUUUUAACCGAGCAUGUACGCGGCAGGAUUCUACGGGCGACGGUCUUAAAAACUUUUUUCAAGUGUUGACCUCGGAUCAGGUAGGAAUACCCGCUGA
rnacentral:misc_RNA from 1 species